UACGCCCACAUUAGGUUUAAAUACUGGUUCUCGUACGAUUCCCGAAGUUAAGCAACCACCAGUCUGGUCUGUACCUAGAAAGGUGACCGCUUGGGAAUACCAGGUACUGUAA